AGCCCAUGAUGGGGACACAAACCUCAAUAAUUCUUUGAAUCAAACCCAUGCAUCUCACAAAGAUUCUCCUUCCUUUUGAGCAAAAUUAGUGAUAUGAUUUCUUAGUU